GUAGGUGGCAAGCGUUGUCCGGAAUUAUUGGGCGUAAAGCGCGCGCAGGUGGUUCUUUAAGUCUGAUGUGAAAGCCCCCGGGCUCAACCGGGGAGGGUCAUUGGAAACUGGGGAACUUGAGUGCAGGAGAGGAAAGUGGAAUUCCACGUGUAGCGGUGAAAUGCGUAGAUAUGUGGAGGAACACCAGUGGCGAAGGCGACUUUCUGGCCUGUAACUGACACUGAGGCGCGAAAGCGUGGGGAGCAAACAGGAUUAGAUACCCUGGUAGUCCACGCCGUAAGCGAUGAGUGCUAAGUGUUGGGGGGUUUCCGCCCCUCAGUGCUGCAGCUAACGCAUUAAGCACUCCGCCUGGGGAGUACGGUCGCAAGACUG
rnacentral:rRNA from 1 species